GCCAGGGUGGCAUAGUGAUUUGAUUGUUCUACUCUGACUCUGGAGACCAGGGUUCAAUUCCCAGCUUGGUCC